rnacentral:lncRNA from 1 species
UUCAGAAUGAGUUUUGUUUUAUCAUAAUUGCUGCAUAUUAGUAUAUAAACAGCUGAACUCCAUCUUCCACUGGUAGCACUAAUUUGUGCCUAGAGACAAUUCUCUCCUCAGAAAAUCGAACAACAGCGUAAAAUAUGCUGUCUGUCAAAAGAUCAUCUGUGAAGAGGAAAAAGGGCAACAUGUGUCAGGUUCGUGGUUAAAUGAACAGAGAAGAACAAAAAGAAAUGCUGGCCAAAUGCACGGAGGACACAUGAAAAUAUCUCUGGGGGGAGCUGUGGGUUUAACAGGUCCUUUUAGUCCAGAAGACCACAUGAAACCCACAUUGUCAUGGACCUACAGCCCCUCAUCUUAA